GAUGAACGCUGGCGGCGUGCUUAACACAUGCAAGUCGAACGGGAAAUAUUUCAUUGAGACUUCGGUGGAUUUGAUUUAUUUCUAGUGGCGGACGGGUGAGUAACGCGUGGGUAACCUGCCUUAUUCAGGGGGAUAACAGUCAGCAAUGGCUGCUAAUACCGCAUAAGCGCACACAGCUGCAUGGCUCAGUGUGAAAAACUCCGGUGGGCUAAGAGGGACCCGCGUGGGAUCAGCUGGUUGGUGGGGGAACGGCCCACCAAGGCGACGAUCCAUAGCCGGGCGGAGAGGGAGAGCGGCGACAUUGGGAGGGAGACACGGCCGGGACUCCUACGGGAGGGAGGAGUGGGGAAUAUUGCAAAAUGGGGGAAAGGCUGAUGGAGCGAGGGCGGGUGAAGGAAGAAGUAGGGAGGGAUGUAAAGUUCUAUCAGCAGGGAAGAUAGUGACGGUACCGGACGAAGAAGCCCCGGCUAACUACGUG
rnacentral:rRNA from 1 species